rnacentral:rRNA from 1 species
AGUGAACGCUGGCGGUAGGCCUAACACAUGCCAGUCGAACGGCAGCACAGUAAGAGCUUGCUCUUACGGGUGGCGAGUGGCGGACGGGUGAGGAAUACAUCGGAAUCUACUUUUUCGUGGGGGAUAACGUAGGGAAACUUACGCUAAUACCGCAUACGACCUACGGGUGAAAGCAGGGGAUCUUCGGACCUUGCGCGAUUGAAUGAGCCGAUGUCGGAUUAGCUAGUUGGCGGGGUAAAGGCCCACCAAGGCGACGAUCCGUAGCUGGUCUGAGAGGAUGGUCAGCCACACUGGAACUGAGACACGGUCCAGACUCCUACGGGAGGCAGCAGUGGGGAAUAGUGGACAAUGGGCGCAAGCCUGAUCCAGCCAUACCGCGUAGGUGAAGAAGGCCUUCGGGUUGUAAAGCCCUUUUGUUGGGAAAGAAAAGCAGCAGGUUAAUACCCCGCUGUUCUGACGGUACCCAAAGAAUAAGCACCGGCUAACUUCGUG